rnacentral:tRNA from 1 species
GGAGGGAUACCCAAGUGGCCAAAGGGAGAAGACUGUAAAUCUGCCGCUAUAUAGCUUCGAAGGUUCGAAUCCUUCUCCCUCCACCA